CAAUAGCGUAUAUUUAAGUUGUUGCAGUUAAAAAGCUCGUAGUUGGAUUUCGGGUUGGCUUCAGCGGUCUCGCUUUGCGUUUGUACUGCUGCAGCCUACCUUCUUGUCGGGGACGGGCCUUCGGGCUUAAUUGCUUGGGGCCCGGAGUCGACGAUGUUACUUUGAGUAAAUUAGAGUGUUCAAAGCAAGCCUACGCUCUGAAUAUAAUAGCAUGGGAUAACACGACAGGACUCUGGCCUAUCGUGUUGGUCUGUAGGACCAGAGUAAUGAUUAAGAGGGACAGUCGGGGGCAUUCGUAUUCCGUUGUCAGAGGUGAAAUUCUUGGAUUUUUGGAAGACGAACUACUGCGAAAGCAUUUACCAAGGAUGUUUUCAUUAA
rnacentral:rRNA from 1 species